UUUAAUGUGGCAGAUCAAUGUAAUGAAUUUAAAAUUCAUCAAUGAAAUUUUUCCAUUAAAA
rnacentral:tRNA from 1 species